rnacentral:lncRNA from 1 species
GUUAAAUGUAAUAGAACUACUGGCUAUUGGUCUAAGCUACUUGCCCUGAUAAUUCAGCCACAGAAUUAGUCCUGAACUCGGGGCUAGAACCAAGAACUUUUUUCCCACUAUUGAUGUUACACAGCUACUAUUUAUUUCAAUGUGCUCUCCUUACCCAAAAUGUAGCCCAUGAUUCAAACUUGUUACUCUUCAUGUCAAGUUCAUUUCUCAGGCCUUGUUGGAUCUGUGACCAGUCUUUGGAGUAAGAAUACCAAGAGCUCCAACCUAGGGAAAAAUGCUACUUAUUUGAGAUGGUCUAUGAUAUGAGACUGCUGGAUGGUGAAGUGAGCCAGAACUCAGGGAGCCACUGCAAGAGGGGAGCUCUUUUACAGAUGAGAAAACUGAGACAAAUAAGGUUAAAUGACUUGCCUAGGGGCAUAACUAUUAAUAUUUGAGACUGUAUUUGAUCUCAGGUCUUCCUGACUCCAGGACUGAUACUCUAUCCUUUGUGCGACAUGGUAGCCAAAGUACUCUUCAUUGGAAAACAUUUGUAACUUAUUUUCUAGUAGUUAAGACUAUGAUUUAUGGAAUUUGGAAUAUGGAUGUCAAAAUCUGAGCAUGAGUAAUGCAAAAAAAAGAUUUUAAAGAAUUAGUAUUUAAAUACAUUGUUUUCCAUGCUACAUUUAUAAAUAAACUAUCUAGAAACUGUUGUUGGCA